AAAAUGUUUUCGAUAAAUAGUUAGCAUUGGUCGUUUCUAUGCUUCUUCGUGGUCAUUGAUCGGCCAAUGUUCGCUUUAUUUCGAAUCCUCUAG
rnacentral:pre_miRNA from 1 species